UACGAAGGGUGCGAGCGUUACUCGGAAUUACUGGGCGUAAAGCGUGCGCAGGCGGUUCGUUGUGUCGGCGGUGAAAUCCCCGGGCUCAACCUGGGAAUGGCCGUUGAAACUGGCGAACUGGAGUGUGGCAGAGGGGGGUGGAAUUCCGCGUGUAGCAGUGAAAUGCGUAGAGAUGCGGAGGAACACCGAUGGCGAAGGCAGCCCCCUGGGCUGACACUGACGCUCAGGCACGAAAGCGUGGGGAGCAAACAGG
rnacentral:rRNA from 1 species